rnacentral:pre_miRNA from 1 species
AAUAGAUGACGCUAUUGACUUUUUCUCACAUGUUUGACCAUUCGUCUUAUUUAAAAAAUUUACGUAAUUAUAAUUUAUUUUGUUAUGAGUUGUUUUAUCACUCUUAGUACUUUUUAAGUGUGAUUUAUAUCUUAUAUAUUUGCAUAAAAUUUUUGAUGAAUAAGACGAAUGGUCAAACAUGCGAGAAAAAAUCAACGGCGUUGUCUAUU